GAAAUGCGAUAAGUAAUGUGAAUUGCAGAAUUCCGUGAAUCAUCGAAUCUUUGAACGCACAUUGCGCCCUCUGGUAUUCCGGGGGGCAUGCCUGUCCGAGCGUCAUUGCGAACCCCUCAAGCACGGCUUGUGUGAUGGGCCCUCCCGCGUCUUGGUCGUCAAGACGGGCCCGAAAUGCAGUGGCGGCUUCGCGGUUAUCCGAUCAGCCAGAGCGUAUGGGGACUUUCUCUCUGUCACACGCCCGCGGCGCGGACCGACGCCUGUCGGCCUUCAUUCAUCGUUUUCUCGGUUGACCUCGGAUCAGGUAGGGAUACCCGCUGAACUUAAGC
rnacentral:misc_RNA from 1 species